rnacentral:rRNA from 1 species
GGACGAACGCUGGCGGCGUGCUUAACACAUGCAAGUCGAGCGGAAAGGCCCUUCGGGGUACUCGAGCGGCGAACGGGUGAGUAACACGUGAGUAAUCUGCCCUUGGCUUUGGGAUAACUACCGGAAACGGUGGCUAAUACCGGAUACGACGCACUCAGGCAUCUGAUGUGUGUGGAAAGUUUUUCGGCCAGGGAUGUGCUCGCGGCCUAUCAGCUUGUUGGUGGGGUAAUGGCCUACCAAGGCUUCGACGGGUAGCCGGCCUGAGAGGGUGACCGGCCACACUGGGACUGAGACACGGCCCAGACUCCUACGGGAGGCAGCAGUGGGGAAUAUUGGACAAUGGGCGGAAGCCUGAUCCAGCAACGCCGCGUGAGGGAUGACGGCCUUCGGGUUGUAAACCUCUUUCAGUACCGACGAAGCGCCGAUGAUGGUGGUGACGGUAGGUACAGAAGAAGCACCGGCCAACUACGUG